CCAGUUCAACCUUCUACAACUCCUGACUUAUUAUCGUUGUCAAUGUCCAACAUUUGGUCCAAAUGAUUCACGUCCCGUAUCGAAUAUUUCACCUACUGCGAACAACAACAACAACUACCCAGUAUAGUCCCACAAAGUGGGGUUUGGGGAGGGUAAUAUGUAGACGGGCCUUACCCUUACCCGAAAGGGCAGAGAGGAUGUACCUUGGUGUAUGCUACCUUGGUGUAGCAUACACCUACUGCGAACUUGUCUCCUUAUAAUCUACCCAUCGCACUUUGAAAAAGUAUUCAAUUCAUUCUUAACCCCAAUUCCCAUUAUAUUGGUUUGGAGUUAUCAUAGUUUAUUAUCGCCCCGUUAUGCUUUUGUGUUCUCUAUUUCUAUCUCUAAGUCCAUAGGUGAAGCUCUAUCAAACCCUGGAUGGCGACAUGCUAUGAUUGAAAAAAAUAUAUGCUUUACAUGCUAGUGAUACUUGGGAGCUUGUUGCGCUACUUCCAGGUAAAUCUACUGUUGGCUGUCAGCGAGUGUAUGCAGUCAAAGUUGGUCCAGACGAUAAAAUUGAUCGCCUUAAAGGCCACUUUGUUGAAAAAGAUUUUACUCAGAUAUUUGGGCUUGAUUACAGUGUUACUUUCUAUUUCAUGGCUAAAAUAACAUUUAUUCGCCUUUUUCUAUCUAUGGCUGCUGUUUGUCAUUGGCCUCUCUCUAUCAAUUGGACAUUAAGAAUGUUUUUACGACCUUGAGGAUGGAGUUUAUAUGGAGCAACUACCUAGUUUUGUUGCUCAGGGAGAGUCUAUUGCCCUUGUUUGUCGGUUGUGCCGGUCGCUCUAUGGUCUAAAACAGUCUCCUCGAGCUUGGCUUGGUAAGUUCUACACUUGUUCGGAAAUUUGGCAUGACUUGUAUUGAAGCUGAUCACUCUGUGUUUUACGGGCAUUCUGCUUCAAAUUUGUUUAGUUAUUUAGUGGUUUAUGCUGGCGAUGCCGUUAUUACCGGUAAUGAUCUGGAUGGUAUCACUAGUUUGAAACAUCUCUUUUAACACUUCCAGACAAAGGAUAUAGACAACUAGAAGUAUUUUCUAGGUAUUGAGGUCGCUUAGUGUUGCUUAGGUGUUAUUAUCUCACAGUGGAAGUAUGCUUUGGACAUUCUUAUGAAGACAGUAAUGACAAGUUGUAGACCCAUUGACACUCUUAUGGAUUCAAAUGCUAAACUUCUGCCGGGACAUGCUUCCUCUUAGUGAUCCUAAAAGAUACAAGAGGUUGGUUGAUAAGUUAAAUUAUUUCGUAGUGAAUAGAUCUGACAUUUUCUUUCAUGGGAGUGGUGUUGUAAGUCAGUGUAUGGAGUCUCCCUGUGAUAGUCAUCGGGAUGCAGUUAUCCGAAUUCUUCGUUAUGUGAAACCAGCCCUAGGCAAAGUAGCAUUGUUCGAGGAUCGAGGUAAUGAGUAGUUGGAUACACAGAUGCUAAUUAGGCAGGAUCAACUUCUGAUAGACGUUCUACGCCCUGAUAUUGUGUUCUAAUAGGAGGUAAUUUAGUGUCCUGAAAGAGUAAGAAACAAAAUGUGGUUGCUCGAUCUAAUGUAGAAGUAGAAUGUCGAGCAAUGACUCUGGCAACGUGUGAGCUAGUUUGGAUCAAACAUAUGCUCAAAGAAUUGAAGUUUGAAAAAAAAAGUUAGGUGAAACUUGUGCGUGAUAAUCAAGCACCUUCAUAUUGCAGCAAAUAUGGUGUUCUAUGGAGGACUAAACACAUUUAGAUUGACUGCCACUUAAUAAGAGAAAACACGUAAGUGAGUAAGCAAAUUUCCAUACUCGUUCUCGUAGAUACAUAUAGAAUUCUACGAAAAUUCGUAUUUGAUGAAAAUGGUAUCUACGGCUUGGAGGGAGAUCUUUCAUAUCUUUUGAGAUCCACCCACCCCACAAUAUAUGAGGUGAAAAAUCCACAAUAAGUGAUUUUAACCCUUGUAAAAAAGAAAACUGAUUCUUGAACCUCUUUCACGCUCCUGUUAUGUCAAAAUACUGCAAGAAAAAAAUAGCAAAAUGCGAUCCAAUUUAUCGUAAAUUCGUAAUCAAUUAGUUAACAUAUUGGUUAACCAUAUUCUCAAACACGGAAAAAACCAUUGGCUUAUCAAAUUAUCUAUCGAGCCGUGAAAAAGAUUUAACAAAAGACAGAAACAAAUCCACUAUCAGUAUUAUGUCAAGCAAUAUGUGGAGUAACUCCUGAUAUAAUAGUAAAAGCAAGAACGCAUAGGUGGAUCGACUCAUCAAGUUCCCAUUGAAAUAGGAUCCUCACAAGGAAAAGCCUUGCCAUUGCCAUUCGUGGUUAUCAUAGGCAUCCCAAAAAUGUCCGAGUCGAAAUAUGGCUUUCAAAUUAAGUUCCGAAUUAGUGGAUGCUGCUAAAGGGAGUGGCGAUGACAUACAUAAAAAGGAAGAUACUCAUAGUACGGUAGAGACAAAUAGAGCUACGCAAAAAGGAAGAGACUCAGAAUGGCAGAGGCAAAUAGUGCGUUUGCCUAUUUUCGUUAAUCCAUGAACAAGAUCUAUACAUCUCGUUUGGAAAAGUCUAGAGAAAAAGAAAGAAGCGGAAUUGAUCGAUAGUUCUCAAACUCAAAACAAACGAAAGAUGUUUCAGGAGAUAUUGUUACAAAGUUUGUAAAGCCAAAUCAUUAGCUUGCAGAUAUUUUCACCAAGUCCCUCAUUGGUUCUCGUAUUAGUUAUAUCUGUAACAAGCUCGGUACAUAUGACUUACCUGCACCAGUUUGAGGGGAGUGUUUGAGAAAUUAAUGUAUAUAUGAUGCUUAGUCCCACAUUCUAAUAGGAGUAGUAUGUAUUGUGUAGAAUGUAGAUGUAAAAGGGCACCUUGUAUUUUAGAAAAUGAAUGAAUAUUAAUAAUAUUUUCCCAUGCUAUUUCUCACAUCUGAAAACACAAAAUAAUAAGUGGCAUUGUUAACGGAUAGCUUGCCGAGCAGCUGCUGGAAGAAUCUUAAGAAUGUUGGGUUGCCUGAAAUCUGAAUAUUCCUGGAAGAGUACAGUGGAAAAAUGAUUUGGACUGGCCAAAAUAGCAGCAGGUUACUGAGAGAGGUGACUGAAAAAAGGAGCGGUGUUGCUGGUGCGAUCACUGGAAAGAGGUGCUGUGCUGCCAGAACAGUUACAGGAAAGAGACGCUGUACUCUUGGAACAGUUUGGUGCUGUUGGAACAGUUAUCAAUUACAUGCAACAAUAAUCUUUGAAAAGAAAAUUUUCCUUCCAAAGCUACUUAGUCCUCCACCUAGAAACUCUGUUCUAUGUGAGAAAUACUAGUAGAGAAGAAAAGAAAUGUAAUGAUUACAUGAUAAACAUGGAAUACGAGACACCUAUUUAUAAGCGCGAGACAGUAUCAACACAUUAUGUUGAUCCAACGAGGGAUAACUUAAUAGUAACUCUAGUGUUUUCACUUUCACAUACUAACACUUGACAUUUAAUAUACCUAGGAAUAUAUUUAUUGAUUUUUUCGUUUCCUUUGUUUCAAGAAAGUCAAUAGGUUUCAUAUUUUUAUUUUUAGUAUCUUUUCUAGCCUACCCUGUAAUCCGACACUUGUAUGUUGCUAUUGCAUUUGACUCCCUUAGAUAUAGGGGCCUGUGGGUUGAUUGGAUUGCAAGACUGGCUACCAAUGGUCUCAAUGUGUUCAUUUUCAUGGAUUUAGCAAAUUAGUAGGGAGCUUUUGUAUUCUGGAAGCACUUGUCAUGUCUUUACUUCCAACUCUUUUCUCUUCUAUGGUUAUUGCCAUGUUUCGAAAUUAUAACAAUGCUAUACUGCCAUAGUCUCUGAAUAGUUACUUGGUAACAGGCACGACAUACUGUUCUUUUGGGUGGCACGAAUGGUGAUGAUGGGAAUUGAGUUUACUGGGACUGUCCCCUUCUCAAAUGUUUAUCUUCAUGGACUAAUUCGAGACUCUCAAGUGAGUUCAUGCUUUUAAGUUACUUGCUUUGAAUGUAUGUCCUUAAUCUUCUUGCUCAAAUGUUUAUCUUCAUGGACUAAUUCGUGACUCUCAAGUGAGUUCAUGCUUUUAAGUUACUUGCUUUGAAUGUAUGUCCUUAAUCUUCUUGAUCCAAUUUUUCUGGAUAAUUUAUUGACCAUGCUAGUUGAUUUAUUGUUCAGUGCAGUUACUUGUCCUGUAAAUACAAUUCCCUUUUGUUUUGUGCAAAAUGUGCAUCUGGUUGUUGCAAUUUUACAUUUGUCCUAAGCCGAUGCGUUUAGUUAAUUCACAUUUCCCUUCCUGCUCUUCGCUACCGUUUCAGCAUGAAGGUAUGCCUAGUAACAUUGUUUUACUACUUGUAAAGAAGAGCUUCUGCUGUUUCGGAGGAAAGAGAAAAUUAUAUGUUUCCUAGUUCUCGGUGGAAGUGUCCAACUUCUAAAAAAGUUGUUCCAGGCCCUGCAUUGAAGUUAAUAUUUUACAGAUAUCCCUCUUCCUAGUUCUCUGGUGGAAGUGUCCAACUUCUAAAAAAUUUGUUCCAGGCCCUGCAUUGAAGUUAAUAUUUUACAUAUAUCCCCGAACUUCUCGUUGAUUGGUCUUUGGAUUGAUGAGCUCCAAGUAUGCAGUUUUUGUUUAACGUCAUGUAUAUAUUUGUGAUAAUGAGUUCAGAUUUGCUGACAUAAUUGAAUAUGGGUUGAACCUGCGUUAUCUGCAUCUUGAGUUUCCUCCUGGACUAAUCUCAAGCCAUCAUUAGUUAUGGAUUUACAUCUCCAUUUCCAUGCAUCUUUUACUCCAUAUAUUAUAGCUUUAAAAUUGUCAAUACCCUGUUCCAGGGCAGAAAAAUGUCUAAAACAUUGGGGAAUGUCAUAGAUCCCCUCGACACCAUUGCAGAGUAUGGCACAGAUGCUUUGCGCUUCACUCUUGCCUUAGGGACUGCUGGUCAGGUUUGUUAUGAGCUCAUUUUGUCACUAAAUCAUGGAUAUGCAUAUUCCUUUUUCUGCGAUGGUGUCCGCUUUGGAUGUUUUCAUCAGCCAGCUUAUCUCUUUGUUAUAGGAUCUAAAUUGUUUUCUGCGAUGGUGUCCACUUUGGAUGUUUUCAUCAGCCAGCUUAUCUCUUUGUUAUAGGAUCUAAAUUUGUCCAUGGAAAGGUUGAUCUCUAACAAGGCAUUCACCAACAAAUUAUGGAAUGCUGGCAAGUUCAUAUUGCGGAAUUUGCCUCAUCAAGAUGACACUCUUGCUUGGGAAGCUUUAUUGGCCCAUAAGGUUUGUCGAUUUUGGUGUUUAAACCAAAAUAUAUGUUUUAUGACAGUUUGCUUCAAGAUCUGUGGAUCAGAACCAGUAAGGUAACAAUGCAAUACAAAUGUUUGAAAGAGCUGAAAUACUUAUUAAAAAGCAAAAUGCCUGGAAGAACUGAGAUAAGUACUUCAGUAAAUGAAAUGAAAAAAUACACUAAAUCAGAGAUCGUCAAAGUGUCAGAUUGUGUUUGGUGAUUCACAUUGACUAUCAGAUUGAGCUUCAUGACCAGCAUGGGCUUAAAUACUAAAGAGCUUAAUCCUGGUUGUUGACAAAACUCUCAAACACGUCCAAUUUUUUAAUUUACUCUGUUUUGCAGCAUAGGCUGGCAACUCAGAAAAUUUUUGCUGUUAAAUAUUUUGGUAUAUAUGCACGUCUCUCAGUAUUGAAGUCAAGUUCUUCGAGAGUUCUCGAUUCUGCAUGGCAUGCAAAUUCACGUCGUAGAACAUAGUUGGUCCAAAAGAAUUAUGUUCUCACCGAAGCCCAAAUAUUUGGUGUUCAAAUCAAGAUCCUUGGUUUCUAUGUAGAUUCUAAAGUGAGAAACUUUUGAAGUACAAUGAAAUCACUUCAAAAUAUCUUAGAUGGUUAUUCACCGGUGAACUUCAAUGAUCACAUAAUAAAAAGUAGAAGUAAUCCCAAGUUUUUCAAGGGUCCAGAGUUGACUUAUGUUUGAAUUCUGCAUUACUUGCCAAUAAUAUAACAUAUGAAAUGCUUAUAUAUUGCACUAUCUACUGUUUUCUCAGUUUGAUAAAGUGGAGUCAGUGGUGAAGCUCCCACUACCUGAAUGCUGGGUGGUAAGAUGAUGCUUUUGAUCCUUUAUCUGUUGGUAAAUAUGAUGUUCUUGAUCCUCAUUAUGUGCACUAUGGCAUAACGGUCCUGUUUUAUCACUUCUACAUCUUUCAGGUAUCGAAGCUUCAUGUACUUGUUGAUGAAGUCACUGCAAGUUAUGAGAAACUUUUCUUCGGAGAUGUUGGAAGAGAAAUAUAUGACUUCUUUUGGGCUGAUUUUGCUGAUUGGUAUGUUCUUCCUAUUGUUUUAGGUGCUUUUACGUCAUUUUGGUUUCCAUGGUAGUCUUGUAAUUCUUCUGUUUUAAUAAGACAUUAUCCAUAAUGUGAACACUUGACCAUAUAGAAUGGAAAUUAUUUCCAUUGAAUUCAUAUGCAGAAAGAAUGUUAGUCUUGUAAUUCUUCUAUUUUAGUACGACAUUAUCCAAAAUGUACUGGGUCGUACCCAGGGUAGGGGUAAGGCUGCGUACACACUACCCUCCCCAGACACCACUGAGUGGUAUUAUACUGGGUCGUACUUAUUAUCCAAAAUGUGAACUCUUGACCGUCUAGAAUGGAAAUUAUUUCCAUUGAAUUAAUAUGCAGAAAGAAUGAUUUUAUUGGUGGAUGGGAAUUUAAUUUGUAGUUCAUUCUUAUACAUUAUCUAAAAUCUGAAGUGGAGUCUAUUUUUAUUGAAGAGUAAUAUGCAGAAAGAAUGAUGGUGUUGAUAGGCGUGAAAAUUUUAUCUGUAAUUCAUUAUUACGCGCUUGCAUGGUGACCUGCCUUAUUCAUGCUCGAAGAACUAGUUCACUGUGACUAAAACGGAGAUCAUCACCUCCCGACAAAAACUUAAUGAUACGUGUUAGGUAUAUUAAGACGACAACAACAACAAUAACAACGCCCCAGUGAAAUCCCACUAGUGGGGUCUGGGGAGGGUAGUGUGUACGCAAAUCUUACCCCUAUCCCGAAGGAGUAGAGAGGCUGUUUCCGAAAGACCAUUGGCUCAAGAAGACAAAAAGACAAAAGGAGACAAUAUCAUUAACACCACAGAAAUCAUAGGAAAAAUAGGACCAACAUGAAAUGCAGAAGAAAUAUGCAAAGCAAAAGCAAAAUAGUAACACUGCCAAACUAGUCUCACAAAGUUAUGAAGUAAGGCAAGACUCAACUCUCUCCUAACCUACAACCCUAAUACUCGACCUCCACAUUUUCCUAUUUCCUUGGAAAUCUGAAGCCUCAACAUAUCCUGCCUGAUCACCUCUCCAAUACUUCUUAGGCCGUUCUCUACCUCUUCUCGUACCCUCCAUAACCAGCCGUUCACACCUCCUUACCGGAGCAUCUGGCUUCUCCUCUAUACAUGCCAGAGCCAUUUGAGCCUCACUUUCCGCAUCUUGUCAUCAGUGGGAGCUAUGCACACCUUCUCCUGAAUAUAAUCAUUCCUAAUCUUAUCCAUCCUAGUAUGCCUGCACAUUCACCUCAACAUCCUCAUUUUUGCUACCUUCAUCAGCCCCGUACAUCAUGGCCAGUCUACCAUUGCAUUAUGGAACUUACUUUUAAGUAUCAGUGGCACUCUCUUGUCACACAAUACUCCAGAUGCUAACCUCUACUUCAUCCAUCCUACCCUAAUACGGUGUGUGACAUCCUCAUCGAUCUCCUCUCCCCCAGGAUAACCGGCCCAAGGUACUUGAAGCUGCCUCUACUUGGGAUGACAUGUGAUUCAAGCCUCAAAUCCACACCCACAUCUCCCUGCUCAGCGCUGAACUUACACUUCAGGUAUUUUGUCUUCGUCCUGCUAAGCUUGAAACCCUUAGAUUCAAGAGUUGUCUCCAAACCUCCAGCUUCUCGUUAACAUCGGCUCGCGACUCAUCAAUUAGAACUAUGUCAUCGGCGAACCGCAUGCACGUGGCACAUCCCCUUGAAUGUGGUGUGUUAACACGUACAUUUCCAGGGCGAAUAAGAACAGACUGAGCGCAGAACCUUGGUGUAACCCAUAACAACCGGAAGAUCCUCAGAGUCGCCUCCUACUAUUCUAACCCGAGUCUUGGCCCCAUCAUACAUGUCCUUAAUCGCUAUAAUGUAGGGAACCGACACACCUUUUGCCUUCUAGAGAACUUCUCUAGGAACCUUGUCAAACGCUUACUCUAAGUCAAUAACACCAUGUGCCGGUCUUUCUUCCUAUCUCUGUAUUGUUCAACCAAUCUCCUAACAAGACGACCCGGCAUGAAUCCAAUUGGUUGUCGGAAACGGACACCGUCAUCUCACCCUCGCUUCAACCACCUUUUCCCACACUUUCAUAGUAUGACUCAAUAAUUUGAUACCCCUAUAAUUGUUACAACUCUGGAUAUCACCUUUGUUCUUAUACAAUGGGACCACCGUACUCCACCUCCAUCAUCCGGCAUCCACUUCGCCUUAAAAUAACAUUAAACAACCUAGUCAAUCACUCCAAACCUACUCUCCCCACACAAUUCCAAAAUUUCACCGGAAUCUCGUCAGGCCCGAUCGCUCUGCCCCUACUCAUCUUACUCAUAGCUCCCAAGACCUCCUCAACCUUGAUGCGCCUGCAGUACCCAGAGACACCGUGACUCUCAGAAUGCUCCAAUUCACCUAGCACAAUAUCCCGAUUCCCUGCUUCAUUUAGAAGUUUGUGAAAGUAAGUGUAAUCUCCUUUUAAUCUUGGAAUCUUCCAUCAAUACUCUACCGUCGUUGUCCUUAAUGCAUCUCACUUGGUCUAAAUCUCGAUCCUUCCUCUCUCUCAGCUUGGCCAUCCGGAAUAACUUCUUCUCCCUACCUUUUUCCCAGUUCCUCGUACGUACGACCAUAAGCCGCAGUCUUAGCCUCCGUGACCACCACCUUAGCUUGCUUUCUAGCUACCUUAUACCUCUCCAUGCGCGCUCGCCUCUCCUCCUCACCUAUGCUCUCCAAUAACUUCAGGUAUGCCGCCUUUUUCACUUCCACUUUACUUUGUACCACUUCAUUCCAGCACCAGUCUCCUAUGUGCCCACCAGAGACGCCCAUUGAGACCCCUAACACCUCUCGCAGCCUCUCUUAUACAGUCUGCUAUUAUUGACCACAUAAUGCUCGCGUCACCACUACUCCUCCAAACUGCCAUAGCGACAAGCCCCCUCCAACUCUUGGGUUAAGAAUAAAGUUAAAAUACAGUGAUAAGAGGAGUAAGCUUAGCUGUGAAAGGAGGUUAUGAAAAUGUUUACUUCUCCUUCAUCAUGAAACAAGUUUUCUAAAUUCUACCAUGAAAUUGGUGAUGGUAAAGUGAUUUCUGAUGCGUUUCUCUUGAGCAGAAUGUAAGAGCCUCCUCAUUAAUGCUUACCUCGUUUAUCUCUUCUUUGCUUACCCUGACAGGAAGUUCUCUUUCUUUUCCUUGGUGAAGUGGAAUAGGCGAAAUUUAAAAUGUUAAUGAACUUAGAUAAGAAUGAGAUAUCAACGGUAAUAAUAUGCCCAUUGAUGCUCCGUGAAGAUGCAAGCUUUAAUGUCAUGAUAUUUGUGGGUGUAUUGUAUUGGAGGAGUAUUAUUGAAUACAUCUGAGAUUCUAAAACAUAAAAUCUGAUUCUGGACAAUUUUAGUUGCAUCAAUGGCAAGCGUGACAUGGAACCUGUUUGAGGGUUUAAGUGAUAGGUAAUCUACAUUAUGUUUGGUAUACGAGGGAGACAGAUGGGAAGGGGGAGGUUGGCGUGCUUGUUUAUUCCCCAAGGUGAACUAUUGACCUUUUCAUUGGGUAACUUAUAGUAACUGGAGUUGGAAGUUUAGUAAUGUUCAGUUCCUCCUUCCCUUCCUGCUAUAGAGGGGUUGAAAAAGCUGAUGUAGAAGUGUAAUGUUCCUCCACUCCCCUCUUUUUCUUCACUUCUGACCCAAAGAAAAGAAAAAGAACUUACCUGUUUUCAUUUAUUCAUUUCCUUUAAUCCAUCCUAUCUUCAUCCAAACCUUAGCCAAAUAUAGGACAGCUUUAUAAUUUAUCUAUCUCAUCUUCUGUCAAUAAAUCUCUGUCUACUUUAUAAGGUACAUUGAAGUUAGUAAAGCUCGCCUGUAUCACUCCGGAGAUCAUUCUGUUGCAUCUGUAUCACAAGCAGCUCUGCUAUAUAUUUUUGGGAGCAUCCUUAAAUUGCUACAUCCAUUUAUGCCUUUCGUAACUGAAGAGCUCUGGCAGGUGAUGUGAUAUAUCCUUUUACUUUUGUGCUUUGAUCAGUGCCUUUUAUUAUUUUACAUAUGUAUAGUUCAUGCCAAAUCCAAUGUUACAAGAUGAAUGAGGAUUAUGCAAUGGCAUAUUUAUGAGAUCUCGCAAUCUACGGAAAAGAGUUUCUCACUCUGAAAGUCUUAAUAUUAUAGUUGAAUAACAAAAAUAUCCAUAUUGUUUACCUCCUGGUAACUAAAACUUACAUGCAAAUAUGUGGGAUGUAUGGAACAAUCUGAAUUUUAGUUGUUUUACAAUGGUAUAGUUUUUCUUUUUCGGGUUUUUCACUUAAAGAUAAGUGUUUGUUUGAGGUAACAUUAAAGGCAAUGGAGCUAUUUAAAUAUAGAGUAGUCAAAGGUGAAAAGCUUAAACAAGGCUAAAGUUGCUUUACGCGCAUAGCAGAAUUAAAGCAUUGGCUUUUGCAGGAAAAAACGCUACUGAAGAAUACUCAAGUCCCAAGUUAAAAAUGUAAUGCAAGAAAACAUUACUACAAGUAUAAAUUAUACUCCCUCCGUUUCAAAUUAUGUGAACCUAUUUGACUUCGCUUGGAGUUUAAAAAUAAAAAGACAAACUUUUGAAAUUGUGGUGUAAAAUGAGGCACAUAAUAUCUUUGUGUGGCUAUAAAUCAUUGAAGGUAAAUUGUUUUCAAAUAUGGAAAUGGACCAUUCUUUUUGGCACAAACUAAAAAGGAAAUAGGUUCACAUAAAUUGAAACAGAGGGGGUAAUUAUUUGGACAGAAGAAUUGUCAAACUAUACUUAAGUGAAAUAUACAAAAAGAAUCAUGUCAAUCAAGUUCAUUGACCAUUUUAAAUUUCUAACUUAGAUGAAAAUAUGUAGUUUGAACACUGAACUUUUGACUAUUAGUUGUUAGUUUCUUAUACUAAACCUGUAGUUUCUUGUUCCUAAUUACUAACACCUCAAUCGACAUAUUUUCUUAAUGAUUAAUGUAUCACUUGUGAAGUAUAUUUACAAGGUGAAGAGAUGCAUGCGAAGCUCCAAAGCUUAAGCAUGUCUUAGGCGAGGUUUUACCAACACUUGUUAAAUCUCAUUUCUAGAUGUCAGUCAGCCUCUAGCGAAUGCACCCCCACCCAAUCCCACCCUCACUCCCCUAAAAGGAAAAAGAAAAAGAAAAGAGUGGCUUAAAGCUCGCCAAUACUUACUUUUUUCACACAAGGUCACACUAAUUUGUUUAUGAGUUCUAAUGCUGAUCCAUAACUUUGGGUCCUAGUCCACUCAUAGCUGAUUUGAGUCUUCUGGCGUCAUAACAUGCCAACUUAUUACUAUUCUGAUCUAAGUUGGUCAGACACGGUGCUGUUGUCCGAAACUGGUACGGAUCUAGAGGCCAGAUCCUUCGAGAUGUAAAUUCUAAGAUUCGGGGAUACGGAUGAGGAUCUUGCUUACAAUAAUUCAAAGAAACAUAUAAAAAUAUCUCUAAAUUAUGAGAAAUUUUGUCGAAUACUUACGUAUAGCUUGUAAAGUAUAGAUUUCUUUUUUUAUUUUCAAGGUUGUAGAUAAAUAAAUGAUUGAUUUUGCUAGAUAAAGUAUGCUAGUUUCUUCAAAUUUGCCCUAGUUUUGGUUCCGAUUUCGGGAAUUGUAUCUCGUCCUAGUUCUUUUCCCAUGUUAAUUCUAUGUAGUUCUUUAAUAUAGUCAUGCCUGUGAAAGGUCAAGCCCCGGUAAAUCUGCAUUAUCAGUUGAUGAAAUGGUCUGCAAAUAUGUGUUUAAGUAGUAGCGUGGUCUUCCACCUAUUCGGUAUCACCAUAGCUUCUUGUCGUUGAUUUCCUGAAAUGCAUUAAUAUCUUAAUCAGUAGCAGAUCCAAACUAUGACUUAUUUUAUCGAAUUUUCUGUUAGGAGGAUUUGGCUAUUUUCUUGUGUUGUCGAUCUGAUCCCACUGUCAUUUAUAGUACAACAAUAAAAUAAAAUAGACUGCAUAAGUCGUUGUAAAAUAACAGAUGCAAUAUUGUCAAUGUUGAAGCUGAUAUAAAUUUCUGAUUUUGUCCAAAGAUAACAGACAAGAGGGGUUGCUCUGAUGGCAAGCAACCCCCACUUCCAACCGAGAGGUUGUGAGUUCGNNNNNNNNNNNNNNNNNNNNNNNNNNNNNNNNNNNNNNNNNNNNNNNNNNNNNNNNNNNNNNNNNNNNNNNNNNNNNNNNNNNNNNNNNNNNNNNNNNNNNNNNNNNNNNNNNNNNNNNNNNNNNNNNNNNNNNNNNNNNNNNNNNNNNNNNNNNNNNNNNNNNNNNNNNNNNNNNNNNNNNNNNNNNNNNNNNNNNNNNNNNNNNNNNNNNNNNNNNNNNNNNNNNNNNNNNNNNNNNNNNNNNNNNNNNNNNNNNNNNNNNNNNNNNNNNNNNNNNNNNNNNNNNNNNNNNNNNNNNNNNNNNNNNNNNNNNNNNNNNNNNNNNNNNNNNNNNNNNNNNNNNNNNNNNNNNNNNNNNNNNNNNNNNNNNNNNNNNNNNNNNNNNNNNNNNNNNNNNNNNNNNNNNNNNNNNNNNNNNNNNNNNAGUAGGGGUAAGGUCAGCGUACAUACUACCCUCCCCAGACCCCACUAGUGGGAUUAUACUGGGUUGUUGUUGUCCAAAGAUAGCCAAAGUGGAGACAAAGGAUACCCACUUUCAAAUAGAAAUGAAAUAGAAUUUGGGUACUCGUUUGUCUCCAAAUUCAGUUAACAUUGGGAAGAAAUAGAAAUCUAAUAUCAGCUUUAAUGUUGAUGAUACUGGUCAAUUAUUCCACAUAUAUCUCUACAUCAGCUUCUAUUUGGCCUUGGGCCUUCUAGCUGAUGAGGAUGCAAGCAGUAACUUAGCCUGCUGCAAAAUCUGGAAAUCUUAUAUGAUUAUUCAGUUUUGCUUCAAUAGCAAAAUAGCUUAAGAAUACAUGCUGUUCUCAUUGCAGUUUGACUUCUCCCGUUUCUGCAGGCAUUACCCAAUCGACAGGAAGCUCUUAUAGUAUCUGCGUGGCCACCUACUUCACUUCCCAGGGAUAUUGUUUCCAUAAAAAAAUUUGAGAACUUACAGGCAUUGGUGAGUUUGAUUAUCAACUUUUCUUGUCCCAAUUUUUAUUUUAUCUAUAAUUCUAGUUAUCCUGGAUAAUUUAUCCCUUCCAUCAAUUCAGACUAGAGCCAUCAGAAAUGUACGAGCGGAGUAUGCAGUUGAGCCAGCAAAACUUAUUUCUGCAUGUAUUGUUGCAAAUCCAGAUGUCAUUCAGUAUAUCUCUGUAAGAUCUCCACUUUAUUCAUAAACUUCCCUGUGAUGAUAACUUGUGGACUGUGUUCGGAUAGUUAUUCUUUCUGAAAGGUGGUGGCUAUGGUUUUUUGGUAUCAUUUUCCUGUGUUACUAAUCAAACGAACACGAUAAGAUGCAGGAGCGCUUAAAAAUAAUGGACCUUUGAAAUGCAACAAAAUUAAUGAACUUAUCAGUUAAUAUGCGCCUAGUUUCAAAAUGUCUAGAUUCUUUUGAUUUUUGCAGGAGAUGCUGAAGAUUAUCCCAUGACAUUCUAUUAGACAUUGUAGAAUAUUUUGCCUCUACCAUGAAAUAAUUACUUACCAUACUAUUCAUUUUUUGAUUUAAAACAUACCAUAUUAUUCAUAUACUGAGAUCUCAUAUAAGGAGCCUUUGUUGACAUUGUUGAUUGUGAGAAUGCACGAGAGAAACAUUUAUUUAUUUUAACAAUGUUACGAUGAGUCCUAUAUAUAAUACAUAUUCUAUUCCUAUUAUUCUCUGCUUUUGUUUAUUCUCUGAUAUUAUUGUCUCAUCUGUUGAGCCGAGGGUCUCCCGGAAACAGCCUCUCUACCCUUUCGGUGUAAAGGUAAGGUCUGCGUACAUCCUACCCUCCCCAGACCCCACUAGUGGAAUUUUACUGGGUAUGUUAUUGUUGUUGAUUCUACUCCUAUUGCAUAUUGGACUAGCACAUAUUCUACUCCUACUACAUAUAGGACUAGGGCUAUUGACACAUAACUAUCUAACACUCUUUCUCAAGCCAGUGCAUACAAAUCAUAUGUACCGAGCUUGUUACAUAUGUAACUAAUACGAGGACCAGUGAGGGACUUGGUGAAAAUAUUUGCAAGCUGAUCAUUUGACAUACAAGACCACUAGACUCCCCUGAGCAACAAAACUAAGUGGUUGCUGAUAAGUAUAAGUUGGCCGAAAUGUCGCCGGAAAAAUUUGAAAAUAGUGAGACUAAGCCGAAUUCCACACUACAAAAUAGGUUCUAAAACACCACCAGAAAACAAAAGCUUUUCCGAAAAUUACUAUUGACACCGGGAAAAUCACUUUUCAUGCCGGAAAAAGUGCACCAUUCACCGCCGGAAAAAAUUAAAGUUCUUAGAAUUUGAUGUUAUUAGAAAAUUUUCUGGAAAUUACGGUUCACACCGGAAAAUCAUUGUUCACGCUGGAAAAAGUGCAUUGUUCACGUCGGAGAAAAUAAAAGUUGUCAAUCUGAUGUAAUUUGUAUAGGUAGGCGCGAAAUCACUGGACGAGUAAGUUGUCCCGAAAAUGUUUUGUCAAAAAGUGGUCGGAAUGGCUCAUGCACUAGAAAAGUUACUGUAGCUUGUCAGAACCCUAGUUUUGGCGGCACGUGGAGGCGAGUGAUUUUCUGCCGGAGCGAUUGACUGGGGUUUUAUUGUCUGAAUUUUCCGAACAAGAUGGUAGUGUUGGUUUUCGUACAACACUUAUCAAUGAUGAGAUAACACAGAUAAAUCUUGAGUCGUCAAUGGGAAAGACGCACGGUGACUUGCUUUUCUGUUUAGAUGGGAUUGAGAUUUCAGGGGUUUGGUCGCACAAGGGUUUCGGAUCUGAUGGUGGUACUGAUAUUAUGCACAGUACCACUACCACUGUAGCAGUGAUGAACCCGGAGAACAAGACGAAGCUGCUGGAAAAUUGGGAAAAGGCUCGUACUUUGUACACUAAUGACUUAGACCAUUUCUCGAUUUGUAUAUGUCAUCCUUGCGAUAAGCACGUUUCAUUGGCUUCCUAUUACUUUCUUGAGGAUCCUAAAGAAUGUAGUAUGAGGAAGUGAUGUGCACUUAUGUGAUUAGAGGCGGAACUAGAAUUUUAAGUCUGUGGUUUUAAAUUUGCCAGACAGAAAGAUUUAAUGAAUUUCUUAAUACAAAUACAGAGUUUAAGCAAAGAUCAGUGUGUUGGGCUGAACCUGUACCAUAUAGGCAAAAUUAAUUACAUAUAGGGUGUGUUUGGUAUGAAGGAAAAUAUUUUCAUGGAAAAUGAGUGAUUUUUAUCACUUAUUUUCCCUUGUUUGGUUAGUGAGUGAAAAGCUUUUUCCGAAAAAUAUUUUCUAGUAUUUGGUUAGAGAGUAUAAAAUAUUUUUAGGAAAAUAAUUCUAUAUGCUGGGGGGCUCAACCCACCUUCCCCCAAAAUCCCCAUGUUUCAUGUCCUCCUCCCNNNNNNNNNNNNNNNNNNNNNNNNNNNNNNNNNNNNNNNNNNNNNNNNNNNNNNNNNNNNNNNNNNNNNNNNNNNNNNNNNNNNNNNNNNNNNNNNNNNNNNNNNNNNNNNNNNNNNNNNNNNNNNNNNNNNNNNNNNNNNNNNNNNNNGGGGGGCUCUUUCCCUCUCUGGAUUGCUAGUUUCUUCCAUAAUUAGUUAUUCUUUUCAAUCACAUAAAUCCGAAGGAACUAAUGUGCUAGUUUACUUUUUCACACAAGAACAGUGUUGAAAUUUGAGCUCGAUAACCAAAAAGAAAAUAUAUAUUUUUUAUUGAAAAAGAAAUUAUUAUUUCUACAACAUGAAACGAAAUUACUCAAUUUAUUGAAUGAAAGAAAAUCUUUUUCUACAUCAUAAAAAAAAUACUCGUUUUGUUGAAAUGAAAUACUUUUCUACAUCGUGAAAAGAAAAUACUAAUUUUAUUGGGAGAAAAAUACUCUUUCUAUUUCAGGAAAAAAAACUCGUUUUUGUUGAAAUGAAAGAAAAUACUUUUUCUACCUCAUGAAAAAAAAAGUACUCGUUUUGUUGAAGUGAAAGAAAAUAUUUUUUCUACAUCAUGAAAAGAAUAUAUUCGUUUUGUUGUAAUAAAACAAAUUACUCUAUUUACACCAUGAAAAGAAAGUACUCUUAAUAAUAUUUAGGAUGGGAGGUGGGCAAGAUUGGGGUGUGGUGGGGGGGUAGGGGAUGAAUAGAGUGGAGAAGGUUGAAGAAGAAUAUUGGAAAAUAUUUUCCCUUCUUUUGAUAGGGAAAACACUUUAUCCUAUUGGAGGAAAACGAGUUUAUGAGGAAAGUAUUUUCCAAAACAUUUAAGCCAACAAAUUAUGAAAAAUUAGAAAAUAUUUUCCGGAAAAUGUUUUCCUUCGUACCAAACACUCUCAUAGUGUUCACUAUCUGCCUUCUGAGUCAGUGAGGUCAGCUUACCGCACGGCGGCCAUAUUAUAUCAGAUCAGUCACUUCUGUUUGUUCUCAAUUUUGUGCUAUAUUAAAUGCAUUUCUCUUACUAGAAGAAAUUUUUUAUAUGCCUAUGUGGAUAUCAGCACAUGGCUAUCACUUAAUGCAGGGAGAGAGAGAAGUUUUAGCUCUUCUUUCAAGACUGGAUUUGGGAAAUGUCAAUUUUGCAGAAGCUCCCCCAGGUAUGUUAAUACUCAAGUAUCACACGUUGCAAAAGGUUGAUAAACCCCGCAUCGUUAGAUCUCUCUGGUUUAAUGUUCGUUUUAGUUGUAGUUUUAUCUUCAUAUGAGAUGAAUUGCAGGAGAUGCAAAUCAGUCUGUCCACGUUGUUGCUAGUGAAGGUCUAGAAGCUUAUCUUCCUCUAUCAGAUAUGGUGGACAUCUCUGCUGAAGUUCAGCGUCUCUCUAAGCGCCUUGACAAGAUGCAAGCUGAAUAUGAUGGGCUGAUGGCUCGUUUGACUUCUUCAAGUGUGAGUUCUCCAUUUUCUCAUUUUGCCGGAUAAAUAAAUUGAAUGCCAAACUUAAAUUUACUUCAGAAUUCCUUACAUUAAAAAUAAAAAAGGCAACAUGGUACUUAGAGGCAAAUACGCCCACAUAUUGCGAAUAAUAAAUAAAGAUGUCUUCUUUUCCAUUUACUUCAAGAAAUAAAUAUAUCUUACUUUUCCAUUUACUUUAUCGAAGAUAGUUUUAUACUAUUAAUUUGUGUGCAUACAUACCAUUACUUCUAUUUGAUAUGCCAAGAAUGGUGCAACUAGGCAAAGUUUUAUCGUGAACGGAAAUUGGAAUACCUCAGAUGCAAAGUAGGCGUUCUAGUUUUUUUCUGAUAUGUUCAACAUUUCAAAAGGCUCUCCCCGACUGUCGAAACAGUAUAUAGUUAAAAUCUUACAGUAUUAUGUCUUGCUUCUCCAUUUCCACUUUUCUAUGUCACGGACCUUGUAGAGUUGCUAUGUGCAGUUUGUAGAGAAAGCUCCUGAGGAUAUUGUUCGUGGUGUCCGAGAAAAAGCGGCAGAAGCAGAAGAGAAGUUAACUCUAACUAAAAACCGCCUUAAUUUCCUCAAGUCAAAAGUUUUGAUUGCAAAUUAGUUUCAUUCGAACAAUCCUUUGUUGCCGCUUACCCUAGUUCAAACCACUUGAGGCUCAUUACAUUAUUUUUGCUUUUUGCUCGAUAUCAAGAUGAGUAGCCUCUUCCACAAGAACAAGGUGGAGAUCAUCUCGUAAGGCAUUCUUUCAUCUUUCUUCACCUCGACCAGUAAUUCCAUCAAAAGGGUACAGCUUUACUUUAUCUGUGUUGUGCUUCAGUCUAAGAGUAGGGCGUUGAAAAUAAAGCAUCAAGUGGCGGCUUUUACCCAUUUUUCUCAUUAACCCCUAGAAAGAGUUUGGGUGGGGUGGGGUGUGGGGGUUAGAUGAUGUACAGAAUUAUAUUUUUGUGAACAUUUGUCACGUUAGUGAUCAUGAUUGCUAUAUUCCAUGUGUUAGAGUUGACUCCAUUCCAGCUUCACAGAAGCACAAGUUAGUCUUUCCGUCUCUGUUAUGAUUUUUCUAUCUUUUCAAAUCUUGUUUGGUCAUCUUUUGGUUGUAAUUUGUUUUAACUGGCAGUUGAGAUGCUCAUAAUCGUUAGAUGCAUUAAUCAGUCGUUUUUCUUUAUUUCUGUGAAAUCGUUGCUAGAUUUUAUGCAUUAAGACUAACAGGAAUCAAAUGCGAAUCCUUGCUGCGGCAUUUACACGCAGAACUCACAUUGGAGGACAGUGAAGCCUUCUUACUAAAGUUAGUAGUAAUUAGUAGGACUAAUAUUCCUUCCGUUCACUUUUACUUGGCAUGUAUACUAAUAACAAACAACAACAACAAUGACUACCCAGUAAAAUCCUGCAGAGGGGUCUGGGGAGGGUAAUAAGAAUGCAUACCUUAGCCCUACCCCAAUAGGGUAGGGAGGCUGUUUCCGAAAGACCCUCGGCUCAUAGAAAAGGAAGAGAAGAAGACAGAAGGAAGACAAGUCAUUAGUCACUUUAGUAGAAGCCAUAAUAGUAACAGAAACAUAACAACCAAAAGAUGAAUGACAUGCACUAGCAGUAACUAGUAACUAAUGCCCAAUGCUAAGAUAGACGACGAGGAUAGUGUGAAUUCAACAUAAAUUAUAAGUUAUCUAAGAUCAAUCCUAAUUCAACCCCGCCUCAACUCCCGGAGUGAAGUACGCAAAGCACCACAACCCUACCCUACAAUCCUAAUGCUUGCCCUCCAAAUAUUCUUAUCAAGGGCCAUGUCCUCAGAAAUCUGCAAGCGGGCCAUGUCCUGCCUGAUCACCUCUCCCCAGUACUUCUUAGGCCUCCCUUUACCUCUCCUCGUACCCAUCACAGCCAACCUUUCACACCUCCUCACCGGAGCAUCAAGGCUUCUUCUCAGCACAUGCCCGAACCAUCUGAGCCUCGCUUCCCGCAUCUUAUCAUUCGCAUGUGCCACGCCACCUUCUUUUGAAUAUCCUCAUUCCUAAUCUUGUCUAACCUAGUGUGCCCGCACAUCCACCUCAACAUCCUCAUCUCUGCUACCUUCAUCCUCUGAAUAUGGGAGUUCUUAACCGGCCAACACUCUGCCCCAUACAACAUGGCCGAUCUUAUCACAACUCUAUAAAAAUUUACCUUUGAGUAACUGUGGUACUUUCUUGUCACACAAGACUCCCGAGGUAAGCCUCCAUUUCAUGCAGCCCGCCCCUAUACGGUGAGUGACGUCCUCAUCGAUCUCUCCGUCCCCUUGGAUCAUCGACCCAAGAUACUUGAAGCUAUCUCUCUUGGGGAUGACCUGAGAUCCAAGCCUUCUUCCCUCGACUCAACGCUAAACUUGCACUCCAGGUACUUAGUCUUAGACCUGCUCAAUUUGAAACCCUUAGACUUUAGGGUCUGUCUCCAAACCUCCAAUCUCUUGUUAACACCGACCCUCGUCUCAUCAAUUAGAACUAUGUCAUCAGCAAAUAACAUACACCAUGUCACAUCCCCUUUACUAUGGUGUGUCAAUGCAUUCAUCACCAAGGCAAAUAAGAACAGGCUGAGUGCAGAGCCUUGGUGUAAUCCCAUAACCAUCGAACAAUCCUCCGAGUCCCCUCCCACAGUCUUAACCUUAGUCUUAGCUCCAUCAUACAUAUCCUUGAUUGCACUUAUGUAGGCUACCGGCACACCCUUUGCCUCAAGACAUCUCCAGAGCACCUCCCUGGGGACCUUGUCAUACGCUUUCUCCAAGUCAAUAAACACCAUGUCCAGGUCCUUCUUCCUAUCCCUGUAAAGCUCCACCAACCUCCUAAUAAGGUGGAUAGCUUCCGUAGUUGACCGACCCGGUAUGAACCCAAACUGAUUGUCGGAUAUAGACGUCAUCUUCCUCACUCUCGCCUCCACCACCCUCUCCCAGACUUCCAUGGUAUGGCUAAGUAACUUGAUGCCCCUAUAAUUGUUGCAACACUGGACAUCACCUUUGUUCUUGUACAACGGUACCACUGUACUUGACCUCCACUCAUCUGGCAUUCUCUUCGUCCUAAAAAAUUUAUUAAACAACCCUGUCAACCACUCCAAUCCCGCUUUACCCACGCACUUCCAGAACUCAACCGGAAUUUCAUCUGGGCCAGUCGCUCAACCCUGUUCAUCUUGCGCAAAGCCCCUACGACCUCUUCCACCUUAAUGCGCCUGCAAUACCUGAAAUCUCGGCGACUCUCCGAAAGCCCCAAGACCCUAACGCUAUAUCCCGGUCCCCCUCCUCGUUCAAAAGACCAUAGAAGUACGUCUGCCAUCUCUGCUUAAUCUGAGACUCUCCCAUCAAUACUCAACCAUCCUCGUCUUUGAUACACCUAACUUGGUCCAGAUCCCGGGCCUUCCUCUCCCUUGCUUUAGCCAAUCGAAACAAAUUCCUGUGCCCACCUUUCUCCCCAAUUCCUUAUACAGGCGGCUAAACGCUGCAUUCUUAGCCUUCGUGACCGCCAAUUUUGCCUCCUUCCUUGCCACCUUGUACCUCUCUCUAUUCGCUCUCCUUUCCUCCUCGUUUCUGCUCCCUGCCCACUUCGCGUACGCUACCUUCUUUGCCUCCACUUUACCUUGUACUACGUCAUUCUACCACCAAUCACCUUGGUGUCUGCCAAAAAAAUCCUUCGAUAGCCCUAGCACCUCUCAUGCCACCUUUCUCACAUAGUUUGCCGUCGUUGACCACAUAGUGCUCGAGUCCCCACAACUCAUCCAUGCUCCCAUAGCGGCUAACCUCUCAUUCAACUCCUGGGUUUUCUCCUUCGUUAAAGUUCCCCAUCUAAUUCUCGAUCGGCCCCGAUCAUACUUUUCUUCCUAUCCAUCAUUAUACCGACGUCCAUCACUAAAAGCUUAUGCUGAGUCGCGAUGGUCUCUCUCGGGAUAACCUUUCAAUCCUCGCACAAACAUCUAUCACGCCUUCUAAGGAGAAGGUAGUCAAUCUUAGUCUUCACCACCAAACUUUGGAAAGUAACCAUGUGUUCCUCCCUUUUCAGAAAAGACGAGUUCGCAAUCACCAGCUCAUAAGCCUUGGCGGAGUCAAGCAGCGAGGUACCUCCUCUGUUCCUAACCCCCAGGCUGAAGCCAACAUGUACCUCGCCAUAGCCACCAGCAACUGACCCAAUAUGGCCAUUAAAAUCACCUCCAAUAAAUAAACUUUCAGUAGAUGGAAUAUUGCGCACAACCUCGUCCAAACCCUCCCAGAAAUGUCUCUUUACCUCCUCAUCCAAACCUGCUUGCGGCGCGUAAGCGCUCACUACAAUGAGGGUGCAAUCGCCAAUCACCAACUUAAUAAGCAUUAGCCUAUCGUUCACUCGCCUGACCUCCACCACAGACUCUCUAAGAUCCUUAUCCGCCAAGAUACCCACUCCAUUCUUACCCUUCACGACACCAUAGUAACACAACUUACACUCGUUCGCAUCCCGCGCCUUCGAUCCUUUCCACCUAGUCUCCUGGACACAAGCUAUAUUAACCUUGCUCUUCUGGAGAAUCUUUGCCACCUCAAUAGAUUUACCCGUCAACGAGCCUAUGUUCCAUGACCCGAUCCUCAAUCUACGAGCUCCAUCUUUUCCCUUACCCUUCUUGUCUCUCGUCCCAUCCACUGACCCUCUUCCUACCCCCGGCACCCCUCGAGGACAUGACCCUAAUCUACCAUCCCGAACCACAGCCAAUCUACCAAUGACAAACUCCAAAAAACUCUAAUACCAAGCUAGGAAAGAACAGAAAGCGAUUGCAAGUUUCUAAUAAUAUGCUUGAAGUGAUGCCAACCAAAUAGUCACAACUUAACAAGUAUAAGGAAAGAGAUAAGAAAGCGGGAGGUACCAACUCCCGAUGGGAAGAACCUAGAAAUAUAACUUGACGUCGGUUACCGCCACGCUCCACCACUUUCGCAAGUUGCAACUAUUGAAAUUUCCGCCUCCGUUAACCCUAAGCACUUUUUGGUUGACCUAUGGAACGAACAAGGAGACGAAAAAGAAAAAUCCGGUCCCGUUGCCUCUACUGCCACUGAUCGUUGGGCAGCAGGAUUCACCGGGAAGUCAAAAGAGAAGAGAGGGGGUGGGUGGAGGAAUAGGGGGGAAUCGGUGGGGAACUGGGAGGGGAAAGCGAGAGAUGAUAUGGGAGAUAGAGGGACAUAAAGGAUGGAGAAGUUCCGUCGCCGGUGGUUGCCGGGAAGCUGCUGUAGCCGGGUCGCUACAGUAUUUAGGGCAGAAAGCAAAGAAAAAGCAAGAGAUGGAGGGGGAGAGAAGAAAGGAAGGAGAGACGAGAAACGAGGAUGGGGUGGGGGAGGGAGGGGAACUUACCUGUGGCUCGCCGGAAAAGGAGCACCGGAGAGAGUCGCCAAAUGUGUCGCUGGCGUUCUUGGUCGACGAAGAAACAAAGGGACGUUGAGAGAAAAGUAACCGUUGGAAGUCUAGUGUUUUUGCUAGAGAUAAAAACUGAGUCAUGUAUACUAAUAACAAAAUUUUAUUUUUAUUUGUCACUUUACGCAUAUUAAGAGGAGUUAUUUUUUUUUUGUUCCUGUUAUAUCCACAUUAUUUAUUAUUCAUUUCAAAUUAUUUUUUCAAAUUCAAUAAAAUAUGCAUCAAUUAAUAUGAGUAUUAUGGUAAAUUAUGUACUGCAUUUAUUAAUUCUUAAAAGGCGUGAAAAGUCAAAACGUGAAGGGAGUAGUUAAUAUGGACCAGCUGAUCUGCCCACGUCAAAAGUAGAAUUAUAAAUUUGAAGAAUCUGCGCAGAAAAUGUCUCUUUCAUUACUUGUACAAAUUGGGGGCCGUGGGCUUUUUCUUUUUUUAAAUCUUAUUUUAGGGUGAAUAUAAACAGUUUAACUACUUUGUACAAAUAUUGAUAGGAUGCGAAAGGUAUUUUGAAUGUGAUUUAGCUUGUACAUUGAGCAUGAGUGUGGAACAAAAGGCGUAUCGCUGUCUUUAUCCGACGAUGCUCCUUCUUUUGGAUUAUUCAAAUUCUGCCUCCGGUAUUUUAUCGCUUGAGCCUGACUUUGUUCUUCAUCUUGCACACCGCCUGCGAAUCACUAAGGGAUCGUUUGGCAUGAGGUAUAAGAAAUAUAAUAUUUGUAUUAGGUAAAUUUAGUUCCUCACGCCUAUACACUAUCCGCAUACGGCCUUACUAAGGAAGGCGGCCUUGGUAAGGUCGGCUCAAGUAAGGCCGGCCACAAUCAACAAACGGGCAGAGUGACAUGACUUGCUGCAACGUCAUAUCAAGCUCUGACACUCAUAUAUCGAGGCCACCAACUCUUGUACUAUCUUUGUAUUAUUUCGAGGAAGGCCCCUUAGUAUAUAAAGGGGACCUUCCCUUUAUAAAGAUUCAUGUGUAUUUUCAUUGCUGAUAAUAUACAACUCUCUCUACCUUUCUUGUGCUAAAUCUACUAUUUACCUUAUUGCUUUUAUCCUACAAUCUCUAGAUCAUAUUACAUUUGAUUCCGAUUAACCCAAAUCAUUUUUUGAUUGUUUUUAGAGCUACAUAAGUGUUCGAAUAACUUAUUAGCAAAACAAUUUGGCGCCGUCUGUGGGGAUUUCGAGAAUCGAAACUAUAGUUUGAUUCUAGAGAUGUUUCGGAAAACCACUCUCUACAACCUAAAAUGGCUGAAAACGAUGCAAGAAUGAAAGCUAUCUUAGAGGUUCCGAAAAUUAGAGCUGUAGUUUGUUCUAGAGAUCCUUCGAAAAACCACUCUCUAGAACCUAAAAUGGCUGAAAACGAUGCAAGAAUGAAAGCUAUCCUAGAGGUUACAACAGAUCUCACAGGCAAGCUCAACGCGGUUGCUGAAGAAAAUGUCUUACACGCAACCCCCAGUACUUUGAUAGGCAUGGAAACCCUACCUUCCUCGUCGGAAGAUCUGGUUGUUCCACGAGAAAGAGAGGCUUCAACAUCUACGACAAAAGGAGCACCCCCGGAGGUAAAAAGUUACUAGAAGAGUAGGUAACGUACACUCUUAGUAGUCUAGUCAAGAGGCCACCUCAAAGUAAUAAACGCACCCCAGCAGCAGAUCAUGUCGCACCUGAGGAUGAGCUUGAAGUUACAAGAACGAAUAACGUGGCCGUCGAUGUUCAAGCCAACGACGGCACGCUCACAGCCAUCCUCCUAAAGAUGAAAGAAAUAGAAAAUGAGAACAGGUUGCUUCGCGACCAGAUGAAGAAGCACCAAAAAGGGUUGAUAAAAUCCCGGGUGCACCUAAACUAUUACCAUGGAAUUAUACUAGAUAUAUUAUUAUUGGAAUAUAAAUGUGUAAUCCCACUUCGUUUAUGCAUUUGGUGAACAUAAAAAAUGAAAUCAUAAGUUGGAUGAACACCCAACGUAACUUUUCAACUUAUAAUCACUUUUAAUUUGAUAAAAAUUUUUAUUACUAUUUCAUCCCUAAAAUGUUUUCUAAAUUUCAAAAAUACCCUUCCUAAAGUGAAAUCCAUAACUGUCUCUGUUCAUUUCUGUCAUUCAUCCUUCUCCUUGUAAAGAUAAUUUUUAAUCUAUACUCUAUUAAACUUUAAACAUUUAGGCUUUUUAGCUGGGAAGGUUUUUAUUAAACACUUUUUAUCAGGCAUAUUAACUGUUUAAAUACAUUGUUUAUACCCAAAUACAGUAAUAUUUAUUUAUGAAAUUAAUUUUUAAUAUUUAAAAUUAUUUUCAACCUUUAGAUGUUUAUAGUGAGUGUACGCUCAAUCAACCAAACAGAAAGGUUUCUAGGUGAGAUUUGUUGUAUAUGAAGAUUAGGGGUGUGCCUUCGAUCUAUCGAUUCGAUUUUGACCCUUAUCGAUAAUUACUUAUCGAUUAUCGAUUUGUACAUAUGUCUAUCGUCAUCGUUUUAAUAAGGUUUCGAUUUUUUCGAUUUCGGUUACACAAAUAAGAAAAUUUGUGGCAUUCCUCGGAAAGUAUAUCGCUAUAAAACACGCCUAACUAAUAUAGACAAAAAGAAGCUAAAAUAAGACGAACACCGUUUAUAACAUAAAAAUUGUGUCAACAUGCACGUGCAACGAAACUAAAUUAAGGGAUCAAAUGGAUGUCACCAACACUCCAACAGUAUUACAAAAAAUAAAAAUACAUCAUCACUGCUAAUUCUAUUUUCCAUUAAUUUGAACUCCAUUCCCUUUAGCUUUAAAUAUGAUCAUUCCUUAAAUGUGGUAGAUGAAAUAAGCAGGAGUGUGCAUUCGAUUUAUCGAUUCGAUUUUGACCCUUAUCGAUAAUUACUUAUCGAUUNNNNNNNNNNNNNNNNNNNNNNNNNNNNNNNNNNNNNNNNNNNNNNNNNNNNNNNNNNNNNNNNNNNNNNNNNNNGUACAUAUGCUUAUCGUUAUCGUUUCAAGAUGUCACCAACACUCCAACAGUAUUACAAAAAAUAAAAAUACAUCAUCACUGCUAAUUCUAUUUUCCAUUAAUUUGAACUCCAUUCCCUUUAGCUUUAAAUAUGAUCAUUCCUUAAAUGUGGUAGAUGAAAUAAGCAGGAGUGUGCAUUCGAUUUAUCGAUUCGAUUUUGACCCUUAUCGAUAAUUACUUAUCGAUUAUGGAUUUGUACAUAUGCUUAUCGUUAUCGUUUCAAGAAGGUUUUGGUUUUUUCGAUUCGAUUUAUCGAUGAAUCGAUAACAAAUAAUCGAUUCGAUUUAUCGAUUAACCGAUUCGAAUGCACACCCCUAAUUAAGAUAGCACCACCAGUAUAUAGUAAAAGGUGUCCCGACACAAUAUUCUACCAGAUCAGUACUGACGCCUAAUACUUUUUCUAGGCAAGCCAAUAACAAAUAUGAAGAAAUAAGCUUCAAUAACGAUAUGACUAAUCUCAUAUAGUCGAAUAACAUAAAUAACUGAAGUCAAAUGACGGUACAACAGAAACCACCCUAAAAUAUGGUAUUACCGAAUACAUAAUCUCUAUAGAGUAUUAAAUACAAAGUCCAAUAAAAUAUAAUAAUAUCUAAAAGACAGAACAAUAAUAACAUGAUAUAAAAAAAGGAAUUCAAGGCCUGCGAACGGAACAACAAUGCUACAUCGAAAUCUCUAACAAAAUCAUAUGCGACAUAUUACAACCACCACGGUUAACAACACAUGCAUCUGUACGUGAAUUGAAUAGAGUAGUAUGAGUAAAACCAACUCAAUACACCAAAUAAAUAACAAGCCUAACCUCGGUUAAAAGUAAUGACGAGCUUGGAAAGGUCCAAUACUCACUUCGACAAUCAAAAAAAACAUAAUAGUAGAAUAAUGGCAAAGGAAAAAAACAUCUCAAAAAAUAUUAGGUUCAACUCUAUCACAAUAAGAGGUGAAAUAAGCAUGUUUUCAAGUAUAUCAAUCAAGGCAUCAACUUUUCAAGGAAAUCACCUAAAUAGGGAUUUAUCAAAGUAAAUUGUGAUUUCAAGUUGUAAACAUCAAAUACCAAUUAGCAUGAGGAAAAUAAUCUCUACGCUUACAGGAUAAGUAUAUAUGCCAAGUCAAAAACGUCAUAGUUUAAUCAUCAAGUAUACAAAAUCAUAGCAUAUUCAUAGUGCCUAGCACAAGUAAUCCUCAACCAUACUCUUAGUACUCUAACAAUGCUUGGCACAAUGUCCUUGUAUCAUCACAUACACACUCAACACGAUAAUGAUGCAUGAAUAAGUCCCUAAUUAAUUAACACAUCUCGUGUGCCUUCACGUACAUGUUAAUACCUGAUUUAGGAGGGAAAGAUCCUAGCCCAAGGAUGAUCGGAUCAAAAUAAACUUGAUCAACGAUCAAUAGCACCCAGCCCAAUAUAAGGCCUUGACACAAGCAUCACCUCAAUACCAAUAUCAAUAUGGCUCUAUGGCCCAAGCAAUGAUCAAUCUCCUCGAGUCUCUAUAUUCCAAACAUCCCACAAUACCAAUAAUUAGAAUACUGUACCAACAUGCUCCAACUCAGCUCAAACUCAUGUAAUACACGAUGACACUAAUAACAUAUGAGAUAACAUAUAAAAAGGUGCACAUAGGCAAAGAUAUAACACAGAUAUAUCAUAUUAUGACUUACAAUAUGACUGUAGUUAAGGAAAAUAGCUCAAUAUAGCAAAAGUAGCGCUAUCAUGUCUCAAACAGGUAAGCACAUAGCCUAGGCAUGAUUUCUAAUAUGGAUAAUAUCUCACAUAGUCAUACAAGUGGAUGAAAAACGAUAUCAAAGAGGCAUGAUAGCAAAAUAAGGAAUAUAAUAAACUUAAGUCUAAUUGGAUCAAGAACAAUCACGGUGCACGCAUAUACGCUCGUCAAUUCGCACAUGAGUCACCCCUAAAAUAUAAUAAAAUAUCAUAUCUAUCAGGAAAAAUACCCUCAAACCAAGCAUAGACAAUACCUCGAACGAGUGAGAAUUGAUGUUAGGAUAGGAGCUCAUGUGUUAGCUAUAUUUUGCACUCUAAUUACUACAAUUUGGUUGUGUUUAAUCCUAACUGUUAGUACUUUAUACUUAUUACAUCUGUUAUAUUGUGUAUGAUGUGAUUUUGAGUAAAGAAACAAGUUUGGAGCUAAAAUGGAUGAUUUGGAGCUUUGAUGUCUGAGCAGAAGCCUAAACAAUUAAGCCAGGAUCACAUUCGAGGAUCGAGGAAAUCUGGAUGUCAAAAGGUGAGAAAAAAUUAAUAUAAUAAAAUGCACUACCGCACCUCACCAUGCCACGAAGAGUGGGGCACCAUUGUAAGUUUCUUGCAGAGUGAAAAAAAGGCCUCUGAACUUUCCUUCUAACUAGUGCAAAUUUCCUGCAGAGUGGAUUUGAACUCUAAUGCUUCACGUGAAUUCGUCUAUGGAGCUUUGAAUUGGUUGCAAAUUUAUUCACCAAUUUAUUUAAAUGAAAGAGAAAUCAACAAUAACAAUAAUAAUAAAAACAAACCAGUAAAAAUUCCACAAGCGGGGUCUGGGAGGGUAGUGUGUACGCGGACCUUAUCCCAAUCCAAAGGGAGUAGAGAGGCUAUUUUCGGUAGCUCAAGAAGACGAAGAGAGAGAUAAUAUAUCAGUAUUAUCAACACAAAACAUUAUAAUAAUGAGAUCAAUAUAAGAACCAGAGGAUAUAUGCAAAUCACUAACAAUAAUUAGUAGAUAAGGUUUGACACAAAGAAAAACUAUAGAAUAGUGCGAAACAAUAUGAACCACUAGCAGUCUAAGAACAAGUUCUAUCAGACUAACCUCACACUUGUACAAAGUAGAACAAUUCCACUUCCUCAUAACCUACAACCCUAAUACUCGAUCUACACACCUUCUUAUCAAGGGUCAUGUCCUAAGAAAUCUGAAGCCACAGCAUGUCCUGUCUGAUCACCUCUCCCUAACACUUCUUUAGCCGCCCUCUACCUCUUCUCAUACCGGCCAAAACUCACCGCUCACACCUCCUUACUGGAGCAUCUGAGCUUCUCUUCCAUACGUGCCCAAACCAUCUGAUCCUCGCUUCCUGCAUCUUUUCAUUCAUAAGAGCUAUGCCAACCUUCUCUCGAAUAUCUUCAUUCCUAAUCUUAUAUAUCAUAGUGUUCCCACACAUCCACCUCAACAUUCUAAUUUCCGCUACUUUCAUCUUAUGGAUAUAUGAGUGCUUCACUUGCCAACACUCAGCCCAUACAACAUGGCAAGUCUAACCACCACUCUAUAAAACUUACCUUUGAGUGGUAUAGGCACUUUGUUGUCAAAUAAUACUCAAUAUGCUAGUCUACGCUCAUCCAUCCCACCCCUAUACAGUGUAUAACAACCCUUUUAAUCUCCCCAUCCCCCUGGAAAAUCGACCCAAGAUACUUGAAAUUGCCUCGCUUGGAGAUGUCCUAUGAUUCAAGCCUCACUUAUGUGCCCGCUUCCCUCGACUUCUCGCCGAACUUGCGCUCAAGGUAUUCUGUCUUAGUCCUGCUCAACUUGAAACACUUAGACGCAAGGGUCUAUUGCCAAUCCUCCAACCUCUAAUUAACGCCGCCUCACAUCUCAUUGAUCAAAGAUAUGUCAUUAGUAAUAACAUACACCAUGGCACCUCCCUUGAAUGUUCCGUAUCAGUUCAUCCAUAACCAAGGCAAAUAGGAAUGGUCUGAGCGCAUAUCCUUAGUGUAACCCUAUAAUAAUCGAAAAAUGCUCUGAUUCAUAUCUCACUGUCCUAACCCGAGUCUUAUCUCCAUAAUGCAUGUCCUUAGUUGCCCUAAUGUAGGCAACCGACACACCUUUGGCCUCCAAGCAUCUCCAAAGAACCUCUCUAGGUAUCUUGUCAUAUGGUUUCUCCAUAUUAAUAAACAGCGUGUGAAAAUCCUUCUUCCUAUCUUUUUACUACUCCCCGAACUGCCUAAUAAGGUGGAUAGCUUCCGUAGUCAAAUGACCCGGCAUGAACCCGAACUGGUUGUUCGAUAUAGACACAUUCCCCCCACUUUUGCCACCCUUUUCUAAGGAUAAGAAGAGGGUGGUAGGAAAAGGAAUGUUUUGGUGAUUAUAUUUACAUUAUAGUUUUUGGUUUAGUUCAGCUAUUUUUUUAACUAUGCAAAAGAGAUUAUUUAAUUAUUGAUUAAAUAAAACUAGGAGGAUAUUCGAAAGCCGUUUUCCUAAAGAGUAACCCAUUAACACAUUCUUUCAUAAUCUAUGGAGGACAAGAUGCGCGAAGCAAGACUCAAAUGGUUUGGGCACAUUCAUAGGAGGAACACAGAUGCACCAGUGAUGAGGUAUGAGCUACUGGAUGUUGUAGACACGAGAAGAGGUAGAGGGAGACCUAAGAAUAAUUGGGGAAAGGUGAUCAAUCAGGACAUGACGCGACUUAGGAUUUCUAAGGACAUGGACCUUGAUAGAGAAUUAUGGAGUUCUAACAUUAAGGUUGUAGGUUAGGCGAAGUUAUGAAUAUUUAUACAAUACACUAGAGUGAGACUAUCCAGUUAGGAGUUAGUUUUAGGAUGCUAGUGGUCAUCUAUUGAUGCAGGGCUUUAUCUGCUGGUUAUUAUUAUACCUUCCAUCUAUUUUCUAUUUAUUAUAUUGAUGUUAUUUUAAUAUUAUUCUAUUGCUGGUACUAAUAUAACAUCUCUUGUUGUUUUCUUGAGACGAGGGUCUCCUGAAAACAGCCUCUAUGCCCCUCAAGGUAAGAGUAAAGUCUGCGUAUAUAUUACCCUCCCCAGACCCCACUUGUAGAAUUAUAUGUCACUACCCAAACCCGGUCGUGAUGGCACCCAACCAUAACGCUAGGCAAGCCUAACCAACAAUUGCUCUCAUUUCAACAAUAAAUCUCAAAACCGACAAUUUAAGGAAAAAUAUAAUAGUUUUAGAAUAAUAAUCCAAUAUUUAUAGUAAAAUAAUACAGAGAGAUACGAAUAACUGAUAAAACACUCCCAUAAGAUCCGGGGUCACGAGUCUAGAGCCUCUAAUACAAACUAGAUAAAAAUAUCUGAACGAAAAUACACAAGUUUGGAAAUGUAUAAAUAUAUAUAACUAAAUAGGAAGAGUAGUCAGGUACUGCGAACGUUAAGCAAUUACCUCAACAACUUUGAUAAGCUCUGGAGACAAUGACUGAUCAGCUAAGCCUCCGGCGCACCUGAAUCUGCACACAAAGUGCAGGAAGUAUGGGUGAGUACUACCAACUCAGUAAUAAGUAUAUAAAAUGUCUGAAGAUAAGAAUCCACAAAAUGCCACAAAGUAAAGCUAAAACUAAUAGUCCGACACAUUAACUAUGAACCAACAACAAAACGUAUAUCAGUCAAGUAUAAUGCAAGGAUGCAAUGCAAUGCACAUGACCUGCUGCAGCGUACAACCCGAUCCAUUUAACAUCGACGACGCUCAUUAGGGGUGUGUACAGACUCCGGAGGGGCUCCUACAACCCAAGUGCAAUAUCAUCAUAUCAUCGUUGCAGCGUGCAGCCCAAUCCGUACUCAGUCAACAUUAUGCAUAUGAGUCAAAAAACAGAUUCAAUUAAAUUCUGAGUUUCCAAUUAUUAACGAAAUAUAACAUAGUUAUUUAACUUUAGGAAAAGUGAUUAAUCACAGGACUGAGAUCAAUGAUUAUACAAAUCAUGCUAUCACAACGAUAUCCUUCUUUUGAGGAUGCUACAAAUCGGCACAAGGCCCCAAACAUGGAAAUAAGUCCAGAUAUAUUCAAUACAAGGUGCGCAUCAGUCGCCAAUAUAGUAAAAUUCUUGUUCGGGAUGGACCAAGUCAUAAUCCCCAGUCAUAAAAAAACAACCCCGCACCUAUAAUGGGGUGCGAGUCACGCCCUAAUAUAGCGUCACAAUUGUGAGUACGUGAUUUUUGCUCUAUAUAUGAAUUAUUCUCCAAAAUUCAAUCAAAAGACUUUUUUUUUAUUUUUACAAUUUUUGUGAAUUUUGUGUCAUUUCCUGAUAAUGGUUGCAUUUUAUGCAUGCAUUUUAAUUCAUAAAAAUACAAAAAUGUCUUGAAUUUUUCAUUUAGGAAUUAACUUUGCAUUUUAGGAUUAAUUAGAAAAUUAAUUAUUUCAUAAAAUGGAAAAUCAAAAAUAUAUAUUUAAAUUGCAUUUUUGAUUUUGAGUGGUGUUUCUUUUAAAAUAAUUUUGACAAUUAUCAUUUAGGUUAGGAUUAAGAGUUAAUUUAGGUGUUAUUUUGAAAAGAAAAGGAGUUUUUAAUUUGAAAGGAAAAUAAAAGGAAUUAAAAAUAAGAAGAAAGUCAGAUUUGGGCCAUUACAGAUUAACUCCACCCAGGCCCAAACGAACCCCAUUCAAAUGGCCAGACCUGGCCCAGGUGCCCUCUAAACCUGGACCAAUUUCAGAUACGCGCGAAGCCCUAAUAUCUCAAGAGGAAACAAUUCUCACUGUUCAAGCAUCGUUCUCGAUCGGACCAAGCCCCAAUUCAGUCCAAAUUCAAGUGAGUGAAUCCAAACCCACAACCACGCGUUCCUCCUUCUCCCACAUCAGCAAGAUUCUAACGGCUUCUGACAUUUUUCCUCUCUCAUGUGCCGAUUUUAUUUGGGAAUAUCUGAAGAAUGAACUCCGAAAAAUGGAGCCAUGGAUUGAUUUGAGGAUCAAUCCUCUCCUUCCAUCUGUCAGGGUUCGUUCUAGAAGAAAUUUUCUUCCAGAUUUCUUGUGCAAAAAGGAAAAUUCGAGAGAGGUGUAUAUAUAUACUGAAGUCUGAUUGAGGUCGGGGAGGGG
rnacentral:lncRNA from 1 species